rnacentral:rRNA from 1 species
AUUGAACGCUGGCGGCAGGCCUAACACAUGCAAGUCGAACGGAGUGGCGAACGGGUGAGUAAUGUAUCGGAAGGUGCCCAGUAGCGGGGGAUAACUACGCGAAAGCGUAGCUAAUAAAGCAUAUUAGUGGAGCGGCCGAUAUGGGAUUAGCUAGUUGGUGGGGUAAGGGCUUACCAAGGCGACGAUCCGUAGCUGGUUUGAGAGGACGAACAGCCACACUGGGACUGAGACACGGCCCAGACUCCUACGGGAGGCAGCAGUGGGGAAUUUUGGACAAUUGGGGAAACCCUGAUCCAGCCAUCCCGCGUGUACGAGGAAGGCCUUCGGGUUGUAAAGUACUUUUGGUAGGGAGGCGUUACCCGCAGAAGAAGCACCGGCUAACUCCGUGCCAGCAGCCGCGGUAAUUC